rnacentral:other from 1 species
CUCCCUGUGGUACUCGACAUUCGAUAACGUCCUUGAGCCGAUUUAUAUACCCAGGGGGCUUCUCGGCUUUGCUUUGUGCAUGUCCACUUGCUGGAACGCCUUCCGCUUAGCCAGGAGCCUCCCACCUUGAACCGUCGGGUUCAGGGCAACUUUCGGAAACGACACCUUGGGGAGU